GAUGAACGCUGGCGGCGUGCCUAAUACAUGCAAGUCGAGCGAACAGACGAGGAGCUUGCUCCUCUGAUGUUAGCGGCGGACGGGUGAGUAACACGUGGAUAACCUACCUAUAAUACGGGGAUAACUUCGUGAAACCGGAGCUAAUACCGGAUAACAUGUUGAACCGCAGGGUUCAACGGUGAAACACGGUCUUCCUGUCACUUAUAGCUGUGUCCGCGUCGCAUUAGCUAGUUGGUAAGGUAACGGCUUACCAAGGCGACGAUGCGUAGCCGACCUGAGAGGGUGAUCAGCCACACUGGAACUGAGACACGGUCCAGACUCCUACGGGAGGCAGCAGUAGGGAAUCUUCCGCAAUGGGCGAAAGCCUGACGGAGCCACGCCGCGUGAGUGAAGAAGGUCUUCGGAUCGUAAAGCUCUGUUAUUAGGGAAGAACAAAUGUGUAAGUAACUAUGCACGUCUUGACGGUACCUAAUCAGAAAGCCACGGCUAACUACGUG
rnacentral:rRNA from 1 species